ACGAAAGCGCUUGGAGAUUUUAUAAUUGUUAUUAAGAUGGAUGCAUACUAUUAGUACUCGAACAUAAUCUCCACCUGAGACGGUUCGAGCUGCUCUUGAUGCUGCUGCUGCUCAUUUACAGGUGCAUGGAUCGCAGGUGCAGUUGUCACCGCACUUGCAGCCGUUCUCGGCUCCCAUCUCUGCUACCUCGUAGGACCUGGUAUCGAAAACGCCGAUAUUGUUAAAUAAAAUCAUCACUAAAUACCGAAACCUCUCUUGAAAAAUUAGGCUUGAUUGCAGAAACUUACAUCUUCUGAGGAGCGAAACCGACUACGAAAGUCUCGAUCGUAGCAGAGGUCUCUGAGAAGCUCAAGUCAGGGAAACUCUUGCAUCUGCAUGACAAAAUAUCAAAACAUCAGAAUCAUCGCGAUUAUCCUCGGGUGAAAUGAACACCGUAGUCAUUUUCAGAAACUUCACAAGAAAAUCCGCCUUGAUCGUACGAAUGAAGAUAAUCGGCAAGUGAUCGGAUCGCCGUCGAACGAGGGACAAAGAUAUGUAGAAGAUUAAGAAAUCGAAAGCGAUGUAAAAGAAAACAGAAGAUCAGAUUCUCGAGAGAUCAUGCUCUCCACAAAAUCAUACGCGAACUAAAAGCAAUUUCACUCGAUCAAACUCAAAAGAGUUAAUUGGCGAGAGGUUACUCACCCUCCACAGCCAUUUCCGCACUUGCAGCCAGAGCCGCAUCCACAGUUUCCGCCACAGCAAGACAUUUUGGACGAUGAACAACAAAGAACAGAGAGAAUUGGAAGUUUGUUAGGUAAUCAAAGUAUAACUUAUCGCGAUUGAACGAGCUUGC
rnacentral:lncRNA from 1 species